rnacentral:rRNA from 1 species
GACGAACGCUGGCGGCGUGCUUAACACAUGCAAGUCGAACGGAAAGGCCCUGCUUUUGUGGGGUGCUCGAGUGGCGAACGGGUGAGUAACACGUGAGUAACCUGCCCUGGACUUUGGGAUAACUUCAGGAAACUGGGGCUAAUACCGGAUAGGAGCUCCUGCUGCAUGGUGGGGGUUGGAAAGUUUCGGCGGUUGGGGAUGGACUCGCGGCUUAUCAGCUUGUUGGUGGGGUAGUGGCUUACCAAGGCUUUGACGGGUAGCCGGCCUGAGAGGGUGACCGGCCACAUUGGGACUGAGAUACGGACCAGACUCCUACGGGAGGCAGCAGUGGGGAAUAUUGCACAAUGGGCGGAAGCCUGAUGCAGCAACGCCGCGUGCGGGAUGAGGGCCUUCGGGUUGUAAACCGCUUUCGCCUGUGACGAAGCGUGAGUGACGGUAAUGGGUAAAGAAGCACCGGCUAACUACGUG